AAUGGGUGUUCUCAUUUCAUUGCAUUUUCAAAGAAUUUGAGUUUUAAAAUUCAAGUGUGCAUAGGAAACCUCAGAUAACUUCCUAUUGGCAUCACCCCUUCACAUUUCAUUUUGUGAGUACUUUCUCAGUAAUGACUGAAAGCUGUCUCAUGCUAAAUAUGUCUCACAUGUGUCUCUCAUUACAGUACGCCUGGGGCCUCAUGUACUAAGACUUGCGUGGAUUUCAUACUGAAACUUGGCGUACGCCAAAACCCAGAAACUGUCUUACGCACAAAUAAAUUCAGAUGUAUCAAAGUGUGCGAACGCAUGGAUCCAAGCACGUUUCUUUUGUACAUCUCGAUCAACGUGGAAUUGAGCGCACAUGCCGAGGUGCCAAAGUCCUCCCUGUCCACGCCCUCAUUUAAAUAUGCAAUUUCAUUUAAAUAGGCCUCUGGACCUGAGAUUCACCUCUUAAUCCGAUCACCUGGCACCAUGAACAGAGGCAAAAAACGAAACUUCACGGAGUCUGAGCUCGAGAUUUUGCUCCACGAGGUAGAAAUGCGCAAGCAUAUGCUAUUGGAACCCUGUCAACAGGGAUAAAUGCAAAACAAAAGAGAAGUGAGUGGGAGUGUGUUUGCGAGGCCGUCAAUGCAGUGGGGUCUCAGCAGCGCACACACUCUGAAAUUAAAAAAAAGUGGUCAGACCUCAAGGUGGAGGUGAAGCGGAGGGUUUCUGCCCACCGCCGAAGCGUGACCGCAACAGGUGGGGGGACGGGAGUGGGGGAACUCUCCCCCUUCGAUUUGAGAGUGGCCGCUUUGAUCGGUGACACGGCUCUCACCGGAGUGGUGGGAGCCCAUGAAGGGGACACCGAUCAUCCCCAAGACAAGCAAGGAGAGGGCACGGAUUGCUCCGUCGGCCCCGGCGUCUCCUCCGUCGACCCCGGCGUCUCCUCCGUCGGCCCCGGCGUCUCCAGCGCCCUUCGGAUUUGACCAUUUGCGAUGUCCUCUAACAACGCUAACGCAGCCAUUUUUAAAACAAUUUUCUUCAUCCAUUGCGCAUGCUUUUAUAGCCGACCAUAUAAUUGCAAGGUGUGUUAAUUGUUCAUUAGUGUGUCUCUGAUGUGCAAAUCACUCUGAGUCAUUGUUUUCACCUUUUUUCCCAGUUUCCCAGCGUCACCUCUAAGUGUCGCCAAAGGAACAAUAGCUGUAGAAACGUGCGUACGACAGCUCUGGAGCUGGCGUGGGGACCGCACAUUUUUACGGUCAUUUCACGUUUUGUACAUCUGAACGUGAGCGUGGAAAAGGACGUACGCCACGUUUUUGUACGUACGCAACUUUAGUACAUGAGGCCCCUGGUAUUUUGCCACAGAGGCUACUUUUGACUUCAGUAUUGUAAGUAUUAAGUCAAGUCCAUUUUUAAUAUCAGAUUAAAUAAUAAACAAUAAAUAGCAAACAUAGGAAGAAAAAAUAACAUCGUAGAAUUGAUAGUCAAGGUGUCGAGCUCAGCUUAAAAUACAUGCCAAAGAGAAGAGGUGGGUCUUAAGUAUGUAGCAGUUACUGAGAGUACUGCCUAAGGGCCAAUGUGAAGGCUGCGGAUGGUGAGUUACUUCCCAAACUAUAAUAAACAUAUACAAAUUGAAUGAAAUCUUGCUUACUUAAAAAUAGCGAGUAUUCAGAGUGUAUGCACUAAGCAGGGUUAUCACAACACUAGCUGUUUUUAUUAUGAAACACAGAAUCCGUAAAUAUACUAUAAGGAAAUUAAUGCAUUUUGACUAACAUCUUUCUUUAAUAAUAAUAAUGAUACAUUUAAUUUAAAGGGUGCCUUUCAAGACACCCAAGGUCACCUUACAGAGCAUAAAGUUAUCAUAAAUCGUUUAAAAACAAGACAUUGUGGAAAAAUAAUCAACCAUCGAGACAGUGAUCAGUUAGACGUUGUGUGCGAGUUUGAACAGGUGAGUUUUGAGUUGUGACUUGAAGGUUGUAGGCUAAUGGUGUCCGACUGUUUUAUGUGUGGGGGGAGGGAGUUCCAGAGCCUGGGUGCUGAACAGCUGAAUGACUGGGCACCCAUUGUAAUGAGUCGUGAUGUGGGGAUACAUAGUAGUCCAGCAGAGGUUGAGCGGAGGGAGCGGGAGGGAGUGUAUUCUUGGAGGAUGUGCAGAGGUAACUGAGGGCUAGGUUGUGGAGAGCUUUGUACACAGCAAAUUGAGGAGAGUUAAAAUGUUGGUGUUGAGGAAGUUUGAGUUAGAGCAUAGUUAAAUAUACUCUGGAAAGAGUCAAAUCCCGUAUAUUUAACUCUAAUUUUUCGAAGAGUUGGUGUUAAAACAGGGUGUCAAAACGAAUUAUCUUCAAAUCAAAUCUGUAAGUGUCAUUGUAGUAAAAUUAACUCUGAAUAAUUGAACACUUAACUCCAAACCUGGAAGUGACACUUGAGGGGAAAAACGGUCUGUCUAGUUACUGGACCAGAUGAAAUGAGACGGAGAGGUUAUAAAGUCUGUCGGCACGAGGACCUUGGAUUUAUUAAGUAAAGUGGCAACGGUUAUACAGAGUCAUAAAGCGUGAGAGAUCGAAUAUGUCUAAGUCCCUAAUCAGCGCUGAUGGUUCGUCCAGAGCUUCGCCUCCGUGGAAGGUCUGCUUCAGAAGAAGAUGAAGAGUCCCUGUGUGAUACAGUCUUAUGCUGUAUCCUCCUCUCGAUGAGGUGUGUGCGUUUGAGGUGUGUGUGGUUCUGUGUGUUUUUGCUUGACCUUGGCUCUCCGGCCCUGGUAUAUGCAUGUGUAUCUCUUGUGUUCCUCCUAACGGGGGAGAGCUCCUCGAAGUGUCUCCUGUGUGAUAAAUUAAUGUGGCUCUCCCGUUCUUGAGGAUGACUGGUGCAUUGUCUGAGUGUCCACCAUUUGCCUGGUUGGGAAAUGGGGCCUUCGGCUCCGGCCUUGACCUGACUAUAUUAUCAUGUUUGUGUUAUGUGUUCGUUGGGUUAGAGCAAGAGUUGACUAUAUUGUAAUGUGCCUGCCAUGUGAUGUGCUCAUCAGGCUAGGGUAGGAGUUAGCUAUAUUUGUAAUGUACAUGUGAUGUACUCAGCAGGUUAUUUUGCCCAACACACUUCAGGUGUAAAUUUCUGGUAAAUUGACCCUCCCCCACCAUAGCACACACUGCACAGUCUCGUCUCAAUGGUGCAAGGAGUCUAUUUGAAACCUGCAUCCUCUUGUGAUUCGGUAAGUAAGUCAACUUUUGUAUUUCUUUUAACAUUAGUUUCUCAUAUUAAGGCUAUAUUUCGCCUCCGGCCCCCUGUGUAUUUUAAACCGGGAUAAUUUUUUAGGCCUAUUUCAUUUGGUGGUCAAACUGAUAAAAUGGCCACGCAUAUUUUGCUAUCUUUAGGCCUACUUGUUUUCAAGGUGUAUGACUUGGCUUCGGUAUUACAAGUUCAGUAUAUAAUAUGCAUCCUCAUAUAAAGGGGAUCAAUAUUGCGUCAUGAUGUAGGACAGCUGGAGUGUGGCUAAUGUAUAAAUUGGACAUGCUAAUGUCUGCUAGCUUGAUGCUAAUUGUUAGCUACUUUUCAAUGUGUUAGGGUGCACUCACACUAGGCCAUCUUGCCGUGGCCGUUUUCACACCUAACCAUGCUCAAAUCUGCCAGUGUGAGUGUGGCCUUAAUAUCAAUGACGGCUGUUGGUGCUUUUAGGUGGGUGGGCUAACAUUUAUCAAUACUUCACAGGGCCAGACGCCAUGAGGUCACCUUUAUAUCUCUGUUCAUAACUUUCAUAUAAUGUGAAUGAUUUUUAAACAAGAAUAAGUUGUAGAGAAAUGUGUGUCUUUAUUUCAAGCACAAUUAUAAAGAAAAAUAAGGUGUUUAAAGUGCUUCACUGAGCUGAAAUUGAACAUUUCGAACUAAACCAUUGAGCAAAAUAAAAAAAUUUUUCGUGCUUAAAGUAUUAAACAAUUAAAAUGUUGACCGGUCUCCCUUUGCGCCAAAAUGCGGCUGUAGACGAUCACACACUCUUUGGUCGAGACGUCUGUCUCGCCGUGAAUCGUGAAGGACAUGUAUGUGGCGUUUCCGACGUCCGCAGCUGUCUUUAGCUUUAAGGUGUCGCCUAUUACCGCAAUGAAUUGUGCACAUGCCAUCUCAUUGCUAUACGUUGGGUUGACGUUUAAUCCAUUUUUCUUCAUGAGAAUAAUUUCGGAUUUAAAUUUGGUGAAGGGCAACUCCUCUUUGGCAGUGUUGUAUGCAACAUUAUAUUUGAUCAUUUCUGAUUCCUUAGAGCAGUGGUUCUCAAACUUUUUACUAUGAGUACCACCUUAGAAAUGAUUUGGCUCUCCAAGUACCACCGGAAUUAAAAUAAAGUGCGUAGGCCUAUAACUACAUAGAGUUUACACAGAAGGCAUUAAUAUUAAUAACACGAUUUAUUAUUCACAUAACUUGACUUGACUGAAGCAACCGACUGUCUAUAACUCAUGUAUUGUAUUUAAACACUUGCAACGGGAUAAUACUAACAAUUGAACAACUGCCUCAAUAGGGGUACCCAGCAAAUGGGGAUAUCAUCUGGCAUAUAACAUACCAGUCAAUCUAGUGAGGUUAUUAACAAGUAUACUGUAUUAAAGCAUUCAGAGCACUGAAUAUUAAUUUUUAACAACUGCAGUCAACCAAUCAUGUGAGGUAAAUUGUACUGCAUCAAAACAUUCAAAGAAUUGAACAUGAAUAUUUAAAUACUGGAGUCAAACAAUCCUGUUAUAAGUAAUCAUGCGCAGCAAAGAGAGAAAUCAUGUGUACUGCGAUAACACUGUAAUCAAACUAUCAUGAGUAAGAACAAGUGUAUCAUAGAAAAACAACGUAUUCAGUAUUAAAAAAUACUGCAGUAAGUGCCAUAAGGUCAGAAUAUCAACUAUGUUUAGGUUUGAAGGAGAAUGUACUCAGGCACACAUUGAAAAUUAGGCCUAUCAUGCUUAGUGGGAGGGGUGUGAUGUCUGGGUCGAUUGAGGUUAGCUUUAGCCUCAGACUUGGUUCAGUAUCCAACCUGCUUCCAGCACACAAGUUGAGGGGGGAUGGCAUCCCCCUUUGGAAUUAAAAUUAUCAAAAUCAUCCCCCUUCUGAAACAGCCAUCCCCCCUUCCCAUC
rnacentral:lncRNA from 1 species